AUUGAACGCUGGCGGCAGGCCUAACACAUGCAAGUCGAGCGGAUGAAGGGAGCUUGCUCCUGGAUUCAGCGGCGGACGGGUGAGUAAUGCCUAGGAAUCUGCCUGGUAGUGGGGGAUAACGUCCGGAAACGGGCGCUAAUACCGCAUACGUCCUGAGGGAGAAAGUGGGGGAUCUUCGGACCUCACGCUAUCAGAUGAGCCUAGGUCGGAUUAGCUAGUUGGUGGGGUAAAGGCCUACCAAGGCGACGAUCCGUAACUGGUCUGAGAGGAUGAUCAGUCAAAGUGGCACUGAGCGAACGCACAGACGCAUAGGAGAGGCGGAGAGGAGGAAUAGUGGAGUCAGGGCGGAUACCUGAUGCAGAGAGGCCGAGUGAGUGUAGAUUGUCGUAGGGAUGUAAAGCACGUUGAGUUGGGAUGAAGUGCAGUAAUUAAAUCCCUUGCUGUUUUAACAUUACACAGAGAAUAAGCCCCGGAAAACGUCGUCCCAGCAGCCGCGGUACGGAGAAGGGCACACGGCUGAAC
rnacentral:rRNA from 1 species